AUAGAACUUUUUCAGGAGCAAAGGGCAAGAAAAUGUUUUUAAAAAGGGGAAUAAUCCUAGCAAAAUAGUUUUAUAGAUUUUUUUUUGGAAAGCCAUGCCAUUUUCUCCCCUCCUUAUUACUAGUUGGUAAUGUGCAAAACAAUGCUAUCUCAAAAAUAAGAAAAUAGUGAAAGAGAACAUAUGCCCCUGUUGUGGGUUAAAUAGGGACUCCCAGAGGAUAUGUCCUUUCAGGACCUCAGAUGUAAUUAAAGUAGGGAUCUUGAGGUGAGAUCAUCCUGGAGGAGGGUGGGCCCUAAAUCCAAAGAUUAACGUGUUUAUGAAAGACUGAGACAAAGAGAAGAAGGCCCUGUAAAGCUGAGCACAGAUUGGAGUUUUGUAGCUGUGAGCCAAGGAAAGCCAGGAGAAGCAAGGAAGGAUGAGUCUCUAGAGCCUGCAGAGGGAGCACAGCCCUGCCAACACCUGGAUUUCUGAAGUCUGCCCUACAAACUGUGAUGAGAGAUCUUUUUAAAGGCAAAGACAGCAAUUUCCUGGGGAUCUAUGAGUACACUGUUCAACUACAGUACAGGUUCUGGCUCUCUCGCUCAAGCUGGAGUGCAAUGAUGCAAUCUCGGCUCACUGCAACUUCUACCUCCCAGGCUCAAACCAUCCUCCCACCUCAGUUUCCCAAGUAGCUGGAUUCUCUUGGCUCUUUUUGUUUCUAUUGCUGAUUAAUGUUCUAUUCCCUAACUCACUAACAUCGAUUUUGAAAGCCGGCAGCAAACUUAGGU
rnacentral:lncRNA from 1 species